rnacentral:rRNA from 1 species
GUACACGCUGUGACUAGCAUAUCAAUAAGCGGAGGAAAAGAAACUAACAAGGAUUCCCUUAGUAACGGCGAGUGAAGCGGGAAGAGCUCAAAUUUGAAAUCUUCAAGGUUUUACCUUGACGAAUUGUAGUUUAAAGAAGUGUUUUCUGCUGAAGUUUUGGUAAAAGUUCUUUGGAAUAGGACAUCAUAGAGGGUGAGAAUCCCGUAUUUGACCAUUAUUUUCAGCUUUGUGAUACACUUUCAAAGAGUCGGAUUGUUUGGGAAUGCAGUCCAAAAUGGGUGGUAAAUUUCAUCUAAAGCUAAAUAUUGGCGAGUGACCGAUAGCGAACAAGUACCGUGAGGGAAAGAUGAAAAGAACUUUGAAAAGAGAGUUAAACAGUACGUGAAAUUGUCAAAAGGGAAGCGUUUGACACCAGUGUUGUUUUCUCGAAAAUCAAUUAAAAAUGGCUCGAUUUUGUAUUGCUUGAGACCUUAAAAGCUCACUGUACAUUUUUCGUGUCUUUUUUAAUGCACUUUUCGUUUAACAAGUCAACAUCAGUUUCUUUUGUUGUAAAAGGGUCAUUGGAAGGUGGCUUUCUUUUCGGAGAAAGUGUUUAUAGCCUUUGGCCUCUGCAAUCGGAGAGACUGAGGUCUGCAGCGUAGACUCUUCGGGGUUAGAUACAUUUGUGCUAAGUUAUAGCUUUUUAUAGACAACUUGUUGACUAUAAUUAGUCUUGUAGCUUACUCGCUUAUGCUAUUUUACCUACGCUUAGGAUGUUGAGUAGCGACAUACGCAC